rnacentral:lncRNA from 1 species
GAGAGAGAAAAAAAAUGUUUCAGAGGAAGGAGCCCCUGCCUUCUGGUGAAGAGUAUUCAAGAUGAAGAUAAACUUUUCAACUUAAUAUCGAGACUUUGAUAGCAGAAGGGAUCUACUCUUGAAAGUCCAAAAAAUGUUGUUGCUAUAGGAACAGACUCGGUGAACAAGACAUUUGAGAAGAGAAGGUCAAAGACCCAGCUGCACUUCUGCUUCACUGCUGAACUUCUGCUUCUUCCUAUCAGGGAAUACACUGCUCCUCACAUUAGGGAUUUCCUAAAAUUGUUAGGUGUUUUGAACAGAACUGGCUAUACCAAUGAGGCUCAAACAAGAAUCAUAAAGUGCAUGGUGCUUCUCUCCCUCUCUGUUUUCUUUAAAAAGAAAACAUUCUUGACAAGAUGAAUACAAUAUUUUCAUUCUAGCAAAUUUCUGCUGUCAGAGGUUAUAUUUACAGGAUAGAGAGAUUUCUCAAACAUGACCUUUUCUCGUGUAAUACCAGAGUGAAAUUUUAGAAAAGUCUGUGUGUGUGUGAUGCGUGCGUGUGUGUGUGUGUGUGUGUGUGUGUGUGUGUGUCUCGCAGGCUGAGAAGUGGGAUGGGAAGAAGGGAAUGUGGCUAGAAUCUUACCAUCUCAUUCUCUUCUCCUUCAUUGAGCAGAGCGUGCUGGCCCUUCUCAAAGUGUCCCAUGAAAAAGUUAUUCCACACCUCCUCCCUGACCUUGUCGUGCAGACGCUUCCAGGAUGAACUCCAACUCGCCGAGCCACCGCAGCUCCUCAGCUGACUAAAAGAGUUAAUGAUCC